rnacentral:rRNA from 1 species
AUUGAACGCUGGCGGCAGGCCUAACACAUGCAAGUCGAGCGGCAGCGGAAAGUAGCUUGCUACUUUGCCGGCGAGCGGCGGACGGGUGAGUAAUGUCUGGGAAACUGCCUGAUGGAGGGGGAUAACUACUGGAAACGGUAGCUAAUACCGCAUAACGUCGCAAGACCAAAGAGGGGGACCUUCGGGCCUCUUGCCAUCAGAUGUGCCCAGAUGGGAUUAGCUAGUAGGUGGGGUAACGGCUCACCUAGGCGACGAUCCCUAGCUGGUCUGAGAGGAUGACCAGCCACACUGGGACUGAGACACGGUCCAGACUCCUACGGGAGGCAGCAGUGGGGAAUAUUGCACAAUGGGCGCAAGCCUGAUGCAGCCAUGCCGCGUGUAUGAAGAAGGCCUUCGGGUUGUAAAGUACUUUCAGCGGGGAGGAAGGUGUUGAGGUUAAUAACCUCAGCAAUUGACGUUACCCGCAGAAGAAGCACCGGCUAACUCCGUG